CUUGUUUUACUUUCAAGCUAGUCUACUACCUCACCGUCCCCUCGAACCCUAACGACGCUGGCGGCCGGAUCURUAUCAUUUUCAAAGAAACAAUGAGUCGCUCCAGCAGAACGCUUUAUGUUGGUAAUCUACCUGGAGAUAUUCGCGAGCGUGAAGUGGAGGAUUUGUUUUACAAGUAUGGUCCAAUAGCCCGCAUCGAUUUGAAAGUCCCACCAAGACCUCCAGGUUAUGCUUUUGUUGAGUUUGAAGAGGCUCGAGAUGCUGAAGAUGCUAUCAGGGGUCGUGAUGGAUAUGAUUUUGAUGGGCACAGAUUAAGGGUCGGUCGCACAUACAAGGUGGAACUUGCCCAUGGUGGCCGUGGCAACUCAUCUGCUACAGAUCGUCAUAAUAGCCACAGCAGUGGUCGGGGUGGUCACGGUGGUGUUUCSAGACGCUCCGAUUAUAGAGUUUUAGUCACUGGGUUGCCCUCUUCUGCUUCAUGGCAAGACCUUAAGGAUCACAUGCGUCGAGCUGGGGAUGUUUGCUUCUCCCAAGUUUUUAAGGAGGGAGGUGGCACCACCGGGAUUGUGGACUACACAAACUAUGAUGACAUGAAAUAUGCUAUAAGGAAAUUGGAUGACUCUGAGUUCCGGAAUGCUUUCUCUCGCGGAGUUAUACGUGUGAAGGAGUAUGAUUCUAGCCGCUCUAGGAGCCGUAGUCGCAGCCGGAGCAAGAGCUAUAGCCGUAGUCGCAGCAGAAGCCGAAGCAAAUCCCCAAAAGCAAAAUCUUCUCGCCGCUCAAAAUCCCGUUCGAGGUCUGCUUCUCCUCGUUCUCGUUCUGGAUCAGAACCCCGCCCAUCUGCAAGAUAUGGAUAUAUACGACUCUCAAAGGAUUGCAUGUUAGGAUCUUCAUGGGAUAUGUUACCAAUACCUAUAACACUUGUGGUUGUGGAGAUUGGGACAAGAAGAAUCCUGGAUAUGGAUUGCAAUCAUAAAGCUGGAUUGUGAAUAGGCGCUAUAUGAUUAUGGACUAUGGCAAUCACGGUUUUAACAAGUUGGAUCAUAUCAUUGCUUCUCCAAAUGCCACGUAGAAAAUAAAGCAUGCUGUUCAACUUAUUUGUCGGCUUUAUUGGUCUGUCAUAUAUUGGUCUCUGUUGGGCUGCUAAACAUUUGGAUUUUCCAUUGAUUGUAUUGAUUAUGGUUACUGAUUCUCUGACGUGGAAGUGGCAUCAAGGCUCUUGGAUCAGAGUAAAUUAAGAGGAACUUUUGGAUAUUAAACUCGGUUGUUUCUGGAACUUUUGCAGAUCUCCUUCAAGAUCCAGAUCUCCGCCACCUUCUCGCCCAAAGCGGGUUAGUAAAAGUCCCAAAAGACGCAGUCCUAGUAAGAGCAGGAGUCCGAGCAGAAGCAGGAGUCGUAGCAGGAGCAAGAGUUUAUCACGGUGAUGAAGCUGGUGCUAGUUGAUGGGUUGGUUCUGAAGUGGAGCGGGAAAGGUUGUUUUGGAGCUAAGAAGUUAGCUUAGCCAAGUAAGUUGAAUUUGGAACAUGACUUAUAUGUAAGCAUGGAUUUGGGAUUGUGGAUGUCUAUUUAUACUUCACUAGACCGAGUUGUUGUAUGUUGACUAGAGUUAAUGCCUUUUUGGUUCAAAGUUUUUCUAGUUUCUUGUGGAUUCCAGAUGGCACAUAUUUG